rnacentral:rRNA from 1 species
CCUACGGGAGGCAGCAGUGGGGAAUAUUGCGCAAUGGGCGAAAGCCUGACGCAGCCACGCCGCGUGAGUGAUGAAGGCCUUCGGGUUGUAAAGCUCUGUCGGGAGGGACGAAGGGGAAACCCUGACGGUACCUCGCAAGAAAGCACCGGCUAACUCUGUGCCAGCAGCCGCGGUAAUACAGAGGGUGCAAGCGUUGCUCGGAUUUACUGGGCGUAAAGCGUACGCAGACGGUGAGAAAGGUCGGAUGUGAAAGCCCCGGGCUCAACCCGGGAACUGCAUCCGAAACCAUCUCGCUAGAGUAUGAGAGAGGGAAGCGGAAUUCCUGGUGUAGAGGUGAAAUUCGUAGAUAUCAGGAGGAACACCGGCGGCGAAGGCGGCUUCCUGGCUCAUUACUGACGUUCAGGUACGAAAGCGUGGGUAGCAAACAGGAUUAGAUACCCUGGUAGUCCACGCCGUAAACGAUGUGUGCUGGAUGUCGGGGGUAUUCACCCCCUCGGUAUCGAAGCUAACGCGUGAAGUUGACCGCCUGGGGAGUACGGCCGCAAGGUUGAAACUCAAAGGAAUUGACGG